UGAUUUUGUUUUCUCCCUGUUCUCUUUCGCGCAUCACUCUCUUCUCUCUCAUUUUUCUCCCUCUCCUGGUGUUAUUACUGUGUGCGUGCCUCUCGUGAGCGGGAAUUUGUAUUGUUGUUGUUAUCUCCGGUGAGUGUAGAUGGGGGUCUAGGAUUUUUGCGUGAAAAUCAGCUGGGUGUCUUCCCCUAUCCGUGAAUGUGUGUGUGCAAGUGUCAAUGGUGGGUGUUCGUUUUUUAGUAAAAAAAAUGGAAUUCCUGAAGAUGAGUGCUCUGUGAGAAUUACUGGUGUUUUUUUGUGAGGGUCAGUAAUGGAUGAGAGGCGUGAGGAUGAGUGGAAAGCAUUGUGAAUAAUUAUGUGAAAAAAUGGAAUUUUUGGAAAUUUUUUGUGUUCUCUAAUGGAAUCUGUGGUGCAUGAAUGAAGAUGAUGAGUGUUUUUUUGAGUGGGUUUCUGUGAGUAGGAAAAUAGAAGAUGAAUGAAGAAUCCUAGAAGUUCCUUGUGGCCCCUUCUUUUAGUUUGUUAUUGUGAGAAUAAAAAUGUGAGUGGGUAGGGAGGUGGAAGCUUUUGAUUGGGUAGGUUGUUAGUAUAAGAUAAAUUAGUUAAGAGGUAUUGUUUUUGUUUAUUUUUGUAUUUUUGUGGGAUAUGAUUACAUGGGGUUGGACACAUGGUAAGGUGAACUAAAAAUAAAUAAAAUUAGACUUCGGAAGGGACAAAAUU
rnacentral:lncRNA from 1 species